rnacentral:lncRNA from 1 species
AAUAUGAAUAUUUAACACAUGUUGUUGAUGGACAAGUUUAAAACCAUCGUGUAUAGGAUUAGAUGAUAUGUGCUUAGUUAAGAUGAUAUAUGUAUGAAUAAUAGAAUGAAUCCAUUUUGAACAGAGUAAAAAUCUCAAGUAACGAAGUUAUGGCAAAAUUUACGAGAUUAGGCGAUAAUCGUCAAAAUCGUAAAAUCUCGGAAUGAUAGUCAAAAG